ACGCACGCUGGCGGCGUGCUUAACACAUGCAAGUCGAACGGAAAGGCCCUGCUUUUGUGGGGUGCUCGAGUGGCGAACGGGUGAUUAACACGUGAGUAACCUGCCCUUGACUUUGGGAUAACUUCAGGAAACUGGGGCUAAUACCGGAUAGGAGCUCCUGCUGCAUGGUGGGGGUUGGAAAGUUUCGGCGGUUGGGGAUGGACUCGCGGCUUAUCAGCUUGUUGGUGGGGUAGUGGCUUACCAAGGCUUUGACGGGUAGCCGGCCUGAGAGGGUGACCGGCCACAUUGGGACUGAGAUACGGCCCAGACUCCUACGGGAGGCAGCAGUGGGGAAUAUUGCACAAUGGGCGGAAGCCUGAUGCAGCAACGCCGCGUGCGGGAUGACGGCCUUCGGGUUGUAAACCGCUUUCGCCUGUGACGAAGCGUGAGUGACGGUAAUGGGUAAAGAAGCGCCGGCUAACUACGUG
rnacentral:rRNA from 1 species